UAGCAGUAGGGAAUCUUCCACAAUGGACGCAAGUCUGAUGGAGCAACGCCGCGUGAGUGAAGAAGGCUUUCGGGUCGUAAAACUCUGUUGUUGGAGAAGAAUGGUCGGCAGAGUAACUGUUGUCGGCGUGACGGUAUCCAACCAGAAAGCCACGGCUAACUACGUGCCAGCAGCCGCGGUAAUACGUAGGUGGCAAGCGUUAUCCGGAUUUAUUGGGCGUAAAGCGAGCGCAGGCGGUUUUUUAAGUCUGAUGUGAAAGCCCUCGGCUUAACCGAGGAAGCGCAUCGGAAACUGGAAACUGAGGCAG
rnacentral:rRNA from 2 species